CUGUGGUACACGUUUGGUGGAGGAACCAAACUCAUCGUUGACUCUGGCCCCAUGGUCAGACCCUCAGUCUCUCUGCUUCAACCCUCCCCUGAGGAUCUCUCUGGGUGCACGACCACACUGGCCUCCCUGUUGACCGGCUACUCUCCAGAGGGAGCCGAGGUGAGAUGGGAGGUGGACGGCAGAGAGGUGACAGAAGGGGUCCUGACCAGCUCAGAGGAGAAGAAGAGUGAUCGCUACAGCAGCAGCAGCACCCUGACCCUGAGCCAGAAAAGCUGGUUGAAGGGAGAGCUUUACUCCUGUAAGGUCAUCCAUCAUGGCCACACACAGUCCCAGUCCCUGAGCAGGAGCUGGUGUGAAGGCUAGAGGAGUUACUGAAGCCCAGGACAGGAGCCGAGUGUGUGGGGAGCAGGAGAAAGACCCUGCUUCUCUGAUCUAUAUGUGUUUUUGUUUGUAGAAGGAAAUAAAGCUUUGUGUGUGAGAGAACGACACUGAUGUAAAGUGUUGACAAGAACAACAAGCUAAAGAGCGACAUGUGUAGCUCAGCAGCUGGUUGUGAUUGUACUUGUCAUAUUAAUGAUUCAUGUUUGCGUCAAUAAAGC